GAUGAACGCUGGCGGCGUGCCUAAUACAUGCAAGUCGAGCGAACGGACGAGAAGCUUGCUUCUCUGAUGUUAGCGGCGGACGGGUGAGUAACACGUGGAUAACCUACCCAUAAGACUGGGAUAACUUCGGGAAACCGGAGCUAAUACCGGAUAAUAUUUUGAACCGCAUGGUUCAAAAGUAAAAGACGGUCUUGCUGUCACUUAUAGAUGGAUCCGCGCUGCAUUAGCUAGUUGGUAAGGUAACGGCUUACCAAGGCAACGAUGCAUAGCCGACCUGAGAGGGUGAUCGGCCACACUGGAACUGAGAUACGGUCCAGACUCCUACGGGAGGCAGCAGUAGGGAAUCUUCCGCAAUGGGCGAAAGCCUGACGGAGCAACGCCGCGUGAGUGAUGAAGGUCUUCGGAUCGUAAAACUCUGUUAUUUAGGAAGAACAUAUGUGUAAGUAACUGUGCACAUCUUGACGGUACCUAAUCAGAAAGCCACGGCUAACUACGUGCCAGCAGCCGCGGUUAUACGUAGGUGGGCAGCGUUAUCCGGAUUAUUGGGCGUAAAGCGCGCGGUAGGCGGUUUUUUAAGUCUGAUGUGAAAGCCCACGGCUCAACCGUGGAGGGUCAUUGGAAACUGGAAAACUUGAGUGCAGAAGAGGAAAGUGGAAUUCCAUGUGUAGCGGUGAAAUGCGCAGAGAUAUGGAGGAACACCAGUGGCGAAGGCGACUUUCUGGUCUGUAACUGACGCUGAUGUGCGAAAGCGUGGGGAUCAAACAGGAUUAGAUACCCUGGUAGUCCACGCCGUAAACGAUGAGUGCUAAGUGUUAGGGGGUUUCCGCCCCUUAGUGCUGCAGCUAACGCAUUAAGCACUCCGCCUGGGGAGUACGACCGCAAGGUUGAAACUCAAAGGAAUUGACGGGGACCCGCACAAGCGGUGGAGCAUGUGGUUUAAUUCGAAGCAACGCGAAGAACCUUACCAAAUCUUGACAUCCUUUGACAACUCUAGAGAUAGAGCCUUCCCCUUCGGGGGACAAAGUGACAGGUGGUGCAUGGUUGUCGUCAGCUCGUGUCGUGAGAUGUUGGGUUAAGUCCCGCAACGAGCGCAACCCUUAAGCUUAGUUGCCAUCAUUAAGUUGGGCACUCUAAGUUGACUGCCGGUGACAAACCGGAGGAAGGUGGGGAUGACGUCAAAUCAUCAUGCUCCUUAUGAUUUGGGCUACACACGUGCUACAAUGGACAAUACAAAGGGCAGCGAAACCGCGAGGUCAAGCAAAUCCCAUAAAGUUGUUCUCAGUUCGGAUUGUAGUCUGCAACUCGACUACAUGAAGCUGGAAUCGCUAGUAAUCGUAGAUCAGCAUGCUACGGUGAAUACGUUCCCGGGUCU
rnacentral:rRNA from 1 species